UGCCUUACACAUGCAAGUCGAACGGCAGCACGGGAGCAAUCCUGGUGGCGAGUGGCGAACGGGUGAGUAAAGUAUCGGAACGUACCUUUCAGUGGGGAUAACGUAGCGAAAGUUACGCUAAUACCGCAUAUUCUGUGAGCAGGAAAGCAGGGGAUCGCAAGACCUUGCGCUGAUUGAGCGGCCGAUAUCAGAUUAGCUAGUUGGUGGGGUAAAGGCCUACCAAGGCGACGAUCUGUAGCGGGUCUGAGAGGAUGAUCCGCCACACUGGAACUGAGACACGGUCCAGACUCCUACGGGAGGCAGCAGUGGGGAAUUUUGGACAAUGGGGGCAACCCUGAUCCAGCCAUGCCGCGUGAGUGAAGAAGGCCUUCGGGUUGUAAAGCUCUUUCGGCCGGGACGAAAUCGCACGGGCUAAUAUCCUGUGUGGAUGACGGUACCGGAAUAAGAAGCACCGGCUAACUACGUGCCAGCAGCCGCGGUAAUACGUAGGGUGCGAGCGUUAAUCGGAAUUACUGGGCGUA
rnacentral:rRNA from 1 species